rnacentral:rRNA from 1 species
UACGGGGGGGGCAAGCGUUGUUCGGAAUUACUGGGCGUAAAGGGCUCGUAGGUGGCCAACUAAGUCAGACGUGAAAUCCCUCGGCUUAACCGGGGAACUGCGUCUGAUACUGGAUGGCUUGAGUUUGGGAGAGGGACGCGGAAUUCCAGGUGUAGCGGUGAAAUUCGUAGAUAUUCGCAAGAACACCAGUGGCGAAGGCGGCUCACUGGCCCGGAACUGACGCUGAGACGCGAAAGCGUGGGGAGCAAACAGG